AUUGAACGCUGGCGGCAUGCCUAACACAUGCAAGUCGAACGGCAGCACAGCAUGUAGCAAUACAUGUGGGUGGCGAGUGGCGGACGGGUGAGUAACGCGUGGGAAUCUGCCCUAUAGUGGGGGACAACCCGACGAAAGUCGGGCUAAUACCGCAUACGCCUACGGGGAAAGGACUUCGGCCGCUAUUGGAUGAGCCGCGUCGGAUUAGCUAGUUGGUGAGGUAAUGGCUCACCAAGGCGACGAUCCGUAGCUGGUCUGAGAGGACGAUCAGCCACACUGGGACUGAGACACGGCCCAGACUCCUACGGGAGGCAGCAGUGGGGAAUAUUGCACAAUGGGCGAAAAGCCUGAUGCAGCAAUGCCGCGUGUGUGAAGAAGGCCUGCGGGUUGUAAAAGCACUUUCGGUAGGGAAGAUAAU
rnacentral:rRNA from 1 species